GCUGGCGGCGUGCCUAAUACAUGCAAGUCGAGCGGACAGAUGGGAGCUUGCUCCCUGAUGUUAGCGGCGGACGGGUGAGUAACACGUGGGUAACCUGCCUGUAAGACUGGGAUAACUCCGGGAAACCGGGGCUAAUACCGGAUGGUUGUUUGAACCGCAUGGUUCAAACAUAAAAGGUGGCUUCGGCUACCACUUACAGAUGGACCCGCGGCGCAUUAGCUAGUUGGUGAGGUAACGGCUCACCAAGGCGACGAUGCGUAGCCGACCUGAGAGGGUGAUCGGCCACACUGGGACUGAGACACGGCCCAGACUCCUACGGGAGGCAGCAGUAGGGAAUCUUCCGCAAUGGACGAAAGUCUGACGGAGCAACGCCGCGUGAGUGAUGAAGGUUUUCGGAUCGUAAAGCUCUGUUGUUAGGGAAGAACAAGUACCGUUCGAAUAGGGCGGUACCUUGACGGUACCUAACCAGAAAGCCACGGCUAACUACGUGCCAGCAGCCGCGGUAAUAC
rnacentral:rRNA from 1 species